GAUGUUUAACCAGUACAGCACAACCUUUAGUACCGUAAACACCUCCUGGAAUCCGAAAAGUAAAAAUUAUUUGUAAUCUUUUUACCGAAACAUAAAUUUUGAAAACAGUCGCGAAGAAUCGAGUCUAAAUUCUAUAGUCCGCAACUGAAACCUAAAUUUCGAGCAUUUCGAUUCGAUUAGUUCCUGGCUCUCCUCGUCUAUCUGCAAAUCAAGGACUUUGUUGCCGAGUAGAUCCUGGGCAGGCAUGGGAUAAGUGCCUGCCCAGGGUUCCAGACCAUAACGUCGCAUGUCGACCCCCAAUUUUCAUCACCGUCAGAAGAUUGGUUGCCGGUAUAAAAAGUACGAGAUGAACGACACCGCCUAGUGAUGUUGGCAUAUUGAUGGCACAGACAACCCAAUUGAAAGUUACUUCGUCUUCACACACGAUCACCAUUUUGCAAAAGAAUAAGGCCAUUGGAACGCAUUCGCUUCAUCUCAACUUUGGUGUUUCGCUAGCCUCAACUACUUUGAAUAUCUGAACCAUUACAACAUGUGAUUUUACACCUAUAAGCAAGGGUCCUCGGGCAAGGAUUUAGCAUACGGUGGGCGAUCAUCCAUCCCCCUGCAAGGGUCAUUCGGGCAGCAUUGUUUUGACGGGUCGUGGCACUUUGGCAAAGCUUCGGACAAAUUUAAUACUGGAUUUAUUUUGGAACACAAAUAUGUUUUCUUAUUGAUACUAUUUUACAAAACGCAGCCAAAAUAUUAUAUUAUAUUGAUUGCAAAUAAACUUUAUACCUGUAA